AGUGAACGCUGGCGGUAGGCUUAACACAUGCAAGUCGAACGGCAGCACAGUAAGAGCUUGCUCUUACGGGUGGCGAGUGGCGGAUGGGUGAGGAAUACAUCGGAAUCUACUUUUUCGUGGGGGAUAACGUAGGGAAACUUACGCUAAUACCGCAUACGACCUACGGGUGAAAGCAGGGGAUCUUCGGACCUUGCGCGAUUGAAUGAGCCGAUGUCGGAUUAGCUAGUUGGCGGGGUAAAGGCCCACCAAGGCGACGAUCCGUAGCUGGUCUGAGAGGAUGAUCAGCCACACUGGAACUGAGACACGGUCCAGACUCCUACGGGAGGCAGCAGUGGGGAAUGUUGGACAAUGGGGGCAAGCCUGAUCCAGCCAUACCGCGUGGGUGAAGAAGGCCUUCGGGUUGUAAAGCCCUUUUGUUGGGAAAGAAAACCUGCGGGUUAAUACCCCGCUGUGAUGACGGUACCGAAAGAAUAAGCACCGGCUAACUUCGUG
rnacentral:rRNA from 1 species